GGCAGAGUGGUGCAGUGGUUUGAGUGUUGGUCCAUGAUCCUGGAGAACUGGAUUCAAAUCCCUGCUCAGCCA